rnacentral:rRNA from 1 species
GGGGCUGAAGUAGGUCCCAAGGGUAUGGCUGUUCGCCAUUUAAAGUGGUACGCGAGCUGGGUUUAGAACGUCGUGAGACAGUUCGGUCCCUAUCUGCCGUGGGCGCUGGAGAACUGAGGGGGGCUGCUCCUAGUACGAGAGGACCGGAGUGGACGCAUCACUGGUGUUCGGGUUGUCAUGCCAAUGGCACUGCCCGGUAGCUAAAUGCGGAAGAGAUAAGUGCUGAAAGCAUCUAAGCACGAAACUUGCCCCGAGAUGAGUUCUCCCUGACUCCUUGAGAGUCCUGAAGGAACGUUGAAGACGACGACGUUGAUAGGCCGGGUGUGUAAGCGCAGCGAUGCGUUGAGCUAACCGGUACUAAUGAACCGUGAGGCUUAACCUUACAACGCCGAAG